rnacentral:rRNA from 1 species
UACGGAGGGUGCAAGCGUUAUCCGGAUUCACUGGGUUUAAAGGGUGCGUAGGUGGGUUUGUAAGUCAGUGGUGAAAUCUCCAAGCUUAACUUGGAACUGCCGUUGAUACUAUAAAUCUUGAAUGUUGUUGGAGGUGAGCGGAAUAUGUCAGUGUAGCGGUGAAAUGCUUAGAUAUGACAUAGAACACCAAUUGACGAAGGCAGCUACACUAACACAAGAUUGCACUGAGGCACGAAAGCGUGGGGAUCAAACAGGA